GUGCCAGCAGCCGCGGUAAAACGUAGGAGGCGAGCGUUAUCCGGAUUCACUGGGUGUAAAGCGCGUGCAGGCGGUUUGGUAAGUUGGGCGUGAAAUCUCCUGGCUCAACUAGGAGAGGUCGUUCAAUACUACCAGGCUAGAGAGUGGUAGAGGAAGAUGGAAUUCCCGGUGUAGUGGUGAAAUGCGUAGAUAUCGGGAGGAACACCAGUGGCGAAGGCGAUCUUCUGGACCAUUUCUGACGCUCAGACGCGACAGCUAGGGUAGCAAACGGGAUUAGAAACCCUUGUAGUCC
rnacentral:rRNA from 1 species